UACGAAGGGGGCGAGCGUUGUCCGGAAUUAUUGGGCGUAAAGGGCUCGUAGGCGGUUUGUCGCGUCGGGAGUGAAAACACUGGGCUUAACCGAGUGCUUGCUUUCGAUACGGGCAGACUUGAGGCAUUGAGGGGAGAACGGAAUUCCUGGUGUAGCGGUGAAAUGCGCAGAUAUCAGGAGGAACACCGGUGGCGAAGGCGGUUCUCUGGCAAUGUUCUGACGCUGAGGAGCGAAAGUGUGGGGAGCGAACAGG
rnacentral:rRNA from 1 species